rnacentral:rRNA from 1 species
GUCUAUGGCAUACUACCCUGAAUGUGCCCGAUCUUGUCUGAUCUCAGAAACUAUGCAGUGUCAGGUCUGGUCAGUACUUUAAUGGGAGAUUGCCCGGGGAAUACUGGGUUCUGUAGGCU